rnacentral:rRNA from 1 species
AUGCUCGGCAUCUCCAGUCCUAAUGCUGAAUUUACCAGCGUUGGUGUCUGGGCUAUGCACAACUACGAAAGCAAGGUCUGGGCAUUCAAAUACCGGGUGGAACUGCCAGUUGCGGAGCUCACCGUGCAGUUUGGAGUGUUUAAACCAUAUCGUUGUUGGGUGCCCAUUUCUUGGGAUGGUGAUGUGAUCAUGCUGCUCCAGUUUGGUGACUGGCUACUUCAGCUUGACAUGGAUGGCAAGGUGGUUGCUAGUUUGCGCCGUCAAAAUGGCCUCUUUCCUACUCAAGAUCGGCUCAAGCAAACUCUUGUUCAGCAUUCCUUCUUUCCGACACUAGGGGGUUAUGUUGUCAAUGCUCCACCUUUCAUCUGA